rnacentral:rRNA from 1 species
AGUCAUAUGCUUGUCUCAAAGAUUAAGCCAUGCAUGUCUCAGUACAAGCCAAAUUAAGGUGAAACCGCGAAAGGCUCAUUAAAUCAGUUAUGGUUCCUUAGAUCGUACACACAUUUACUUGGAUAACUGUGGUAAUUCUAGAGCUAAUACAUGCUAACAGAACUCUGCUCGGAAACGAAAAGAGUGCUUUUAUUAGAUCAAAACCAAUCGGUGGGAGGCUUCGGUUUCGGCUGUUGCUUGUCAUCGUAUAACUUGGUGAAUCUGAAUAACUUUUGCUGAUCGCACGGUCUCGCACCGGCGACGCAUCUUUCAAAUGUCUGCCUUAUCAACUGUCGAUGGUAGGUUCUGCGCCUACCAUGGUUGUAACGGGUAACGGGGAAUCAGGGUUCGAUUCCGGAGAGGGAGCCUGAGAAACGGCUACCACAUCCAAGGAAGGCAGCAGGCGCGCAAAUUACCCACUCCCGGCACGGGGAGGUAGUGACGAAAAAUAACGAUACGGGACUCAUCCGAGGCCCCGUAAUCGGAAUGAGCACACUUUAAAUCCUUUAACAAGGAUCAAUUG